rnacentral:lncRNA from 1 species
UAGGCGGUAUUUACCUGUAUAAGGUGUUAUGGUGGGUAUAAUAGGUGUUAUGGUGGGUAUAUUAGGUGUUAUGGUGGGUAUAAUAGGUGUUAUGGUGGGUAUAAUAGGUGUUAUGGUGGGUAUAUUAGGUGCUAUGGUGGGUAUAUUAGGUGUUAUGGUGGGUAUAAUAGGUGUUAUGGUGGGUAUAUUAGGUGUGCUAUGGUGGGUAUAUUAGGUGUUAUGGUGGGUAUAUUAGGUGUUAUGGUGGGUAUAAUAGGUGUUAUGGUGGGUAUAUUAGGUGCUAUGGUGGGUAUAUUAGGUGCUAUGGUGGGUAUAUUAGGUGUUAUGGUGGGUAUAUUAGGUGCUAUGGUGGGUAUAUUAGGUGCUAUGGUGGGUAUAUUAGGUGUAUGGUGGGUAUAUUAGGUGUUAUGGUGGGUAUAAUAGGUGUUAUGGUGGGUAUAAUAGGUGCUAUGGUGGGUAUAAUAGGUGUUAUGGUGGGUAUAUUAGGUGCUAUGGUGGGUAUAUUAGGUGCUAUGGUGGGUAUAUUAGGUGCUAUGGUGGGUAUAUUAGGUGUUAUGGUGGGUAUAUUAGGUGUUAUGGUGGGUAUAUUAGGUGUUAUGGUGGGUAUAUUAGGUGCUAUGGUGGGUAUAAUAGGUGUUAUGGUGGGUAUAUUAGGUGUUAUGGUGGGUAUAUUAGGUG